rnacentral:rRNA from 1 species
GAUGAACGCUGACAGAACGCUUAACACAUGCAAGUCAACUUGAAUUUGGGUUUUUAACUUAGGUUUGGGUGGCGGACGGGUGAGUAACGCGUAAAGAACUUGCCUCACAGCUAGGGACAACAUUUGGAAACGAAUGCUAAUACCUAAUAUUAUGAUAAUAGGGCAUCCUAUAAUUAUGAAAGCUAUAAGCGCUGUGAGAGAGCUUUGCGUCCCAUUAGCUAGUUGGAGAGGUAACGGCUCACCAAGGCGAUGAUGGGUAGCCGGCCUGAGAGGGUGAUCGGCCACAAGGGGACUGAGACACGGCCCUUACUCCUACGGGAGGCAGCAGUGGGGAAUAUUGGACAAUGGACCGAGAGUCUGAUCCAGCAAUUCUGUGUGCACGAUGAAGUUUUUCGGAAUGUAAAGUGCUUUCAGUUGGGAAGAAAAAAAUGACGGUACCAACAGAAGAAGUGACGGCUAAGUACGUGCCAGCAGCCGCGGUAAUACGUAUGUCACGAGCGUUAUCCGGAUUUAUUGGGCGUAAAGCGCGUCUAGGUGGUUAUAUAAGUCUGAUGUGAAAAUGCAGGGCUCAACUCUGUAUUGCGUUGGAAACUGUAUAACUAGAGUACUGGAGAGGUAAGCGGAACUACAAGUGUAGAGGUGAAAUUCGUAGAUAUUUGUAGGAAUGCCGAUGGGGAAGCCAGCUUACUGGACAGAUACUGACGCUGAAGCGCGAAAGCGUGGGUAGCAAACAGG